GCGGUCAGAAGAGUUGCCGCCUACCAAAUGGAGUAUGUUCAAUCACAAUCAAAACUCAUUUCAUGACAAAUAUUUGCUACGUCUUCUCAUAUAUAUGUAUAUUAAGAAAACAUUAGAAACUUUUUAAACUCAAACAGCUGAAGAAACUGCAAAGGUUUCCAUACCGUGCACAUAACGAAAGCGAAAUGGGUAUCUUAGUGCACAGACGGAGUAAAUAACUUAUAAUCAUUGUGACUUGAAAGAUGUCCGAAUUCAUAUAAAUAUUUAAUAAGGCCUAAGAAAUUUGUAUUGACCCAUACAAACCAUUG